UUGGUUGUUUCAUUUGUUCACGUUGGUUAUGGACUUAAGUAGUACAGUGUUGAUUAGGUGGCCGUAUAUCGGGCAGGCCGUGGAUUCCGGGUAUCUAAAUUUAUUUUAAUUUGAUACUGACGAAGUAAUCUGUUUGUUAGUGUCUAACAGCUAUAGUUUUCGUUUUUGUGAUUUAAAUAGGGAUAUUGUGCCAGUUCUUGAGGAUAGAAGGGGGAAAGAUGGUGCCAGCUCCAGCGGUUAGACUAUCUCUUCCAGUCAAUUUUUUUGUAGAAAGAGAGUUUACGUUUUAAUUGUUUAGAUAUUUAGAGGCUCUCUAGCACAGCAAUGCGUAGUAGUAUAAUAGAGAUCAGUUAUUUUUAAGAUAUGAAAAGUGUAUUCUCUCUAAACCUGUUAAAUGGAGACGGGGUAAAUCCCCUUAUCAAUGGAGUAAAAAUUUCUGCGGUGACAAGAGGUUAUGCCUCUAAAGCCAAUCGACUUGGCGGUGCUACGUAUUCGUUCAGGGGAGCUUGGCGGUUAAUUCGAUGGUCCACGAGAACCUUACCUUGGAGGUUUUUUUCUAUACAGCCGUUGAAAGUGCGCCUCGAAGAGGCAGCGCGUUUGUUCUUAGUUUAGAGGUUAAGAGGAAAUUCAGGUACAUGUGGAGAGGGUGCUAAGGGCUUAGCUGAGCUACAAUUUUUCGGGAAUACGGAGGCCACUUCUUUGAAACAAGGGGCAAGUGUUUGAGUAAUGAAUUACGAAGAAGGUGGACUUGACAGUAAAAAGGGGAAGUUUAUGGGGCCCUUUUGAAUGGUGGGUCGUAGCGCGUACAAACCGCCCAGCACUCUCGUAUUAUUUAGAAAAGGUUGUUUAGUUCUUUUAAAAUGAGAUAAGUUGUAACAUGGAAAUUGUAUCCAAAGUUG
rnacentral:rRNA from 1 species